AAUUCACUUCUAACGAGGGAAAUCUUCUUUCUCAGUUAAAAACAUCAGAUGUAGCAACCAAAUCCUAAGAUAGAGUCUUCAGUGCUAUAUAUAUAUACACAUAUAUAUAUGUAUACAUACACAUGUAUAUAUAUAUAUAUAUAUAUGUAUAUAUGUGUGUAUAUAUAUAUAUAUAUAUAUAUAUGUGUGUGUGUGUGUGUGUGUGUGUGUGUGUGUUUGUAUCCAUAGACAUAUAUAUUGUAUAAAGGCCACCAGCAUUGAGGACUGGAUGGGAAAUAAACAAUAAAUUCAGAAUUUUUUGUAAAGACUGUAUGUCUUUAUAGCAUCCAUUCUUGCAUAUCAGAUAUUUAUAUUAUAAUUCAUAACAGUAGCAAUAUUACAGUUGUGAAGAAGCAACAAAACUAAUUUUAGGGUUGGAGGUCAUAACCACUUCUGUAGAGGGAAAGAUGGGAAGGAAAAUAGGGAAGAAUAAAAUUAGAACACCUUCUAAGUUGUGGGCCCCACUCUAUUGCUCCAAUAAGAGCAGUCUACAAAUGCCUGUUAAAUUCAAUCUGCUCUGAAACCUUCUGCUUAAAAGAAAAUAGCUUCCACAUUCUUUCAGGAUCCAUCCCUAACUCAAACAUGGCUCAAAUUUAAUAUUCAGCUUAUUCACAAGCAGCUAUAACUCAGCACCAGGGAGAUUGCCGAGAUUUUUAAGGCUCUUGACUGUCAAUUAUGGAAAAUGAGUGAUUCACUUUCCUUCUAUUUCCUAAAGUUAUUUAUCAUUUUUCUUCUCCGCAAGGAAUCAACCCCAGAAGGGAGAUAUGCAUGUUUUCUUGAUGUUUCUUGUUGGUUAUUUCUCUACUUAUGAAGGAGAUAGAAGUAUCCUAAGAGCACCAGGGGUCUUUUACUUGUGGCAUUUGUGCAUGAUGCAUAUUAAAGUUGGCUCAAAGGUACUUGUCUUAUGUUCAUGUGCAAGUACAGCAAUGUAUGUGUACUGAUGUAUGGGAAUGGAGGAAGGAGUGUUAUUGGAAACUAUAAGGGCUGAAAAGUUAGAUGAGAUGAGAGCUAUAAUAAGCACUUGAGAUAUGUAGUGAGUUUGGGUUUCAGUACAACAGUUGGAAGACCAAGAAAGCACAAUGAGAAUUGAGCCAGGGAAGGGAUAAAAUGUGGGCUGCUUUCAAAGACUCUGCAGACAAGCCGAUGGUCUCUUAUUAGGAUGCAGAGAGCUAGGGACACAUCAUGAAUGGAGAGCAAAUCUACAGUUGUUUUAGUCUUUCAUCCCCUUUCCUUCCUCCUCCUCCUUCUGUUUUCUGCCUGUGACAGUUUUACAUUUAUAUUCAGGAUGAGGGAAAGAAGGAAAUACAGAGACAUCACAAAAGUGACAUGUGGAGGAAGAUGGUCUUAUGCUCUAUAGGCGCAAAGGUUGAAAAUAGAAUAUUCUGUGUAGGAUAAAGUGAAGUUUAAAGAUGGGGUCUAAAGAGACAGAUAUGAGAAUAUUUGUUUAAUUUUAGUUUGCCCCUGUGAAUUAUACAGCUGACUUAGUAACUCUUCUGGAAGGGCAGAAUGAGUAUUUCAGGAGAGUGAAGGAUUAUAGAAGGGACAUAACAGGAGAAAAUACAAAGAGAGUGGAAGAACAUGAAGGUCUGGAGCAAUGGUCCUCACCCUUCCUAAUGGCGCGACCCUUUAAUAUAGUUCCUCAUGUUGUGCUGACCCCAAACCAUAUAAUUAUUUUGUGGUUACUUUAUAGCUGUACUUUUGAUACUGUUAUGAGUCAUAAUGUAAAUAUCUGAUAUGCAGAAUUUCCGAUAUGCAAUCCCUGUGGGAUUUGUGACCCACUAUUCUAGAUGGAAUCAGAAACCAUCUAUCCAAAUUCACUCUGGAUAGAUGACUGUCUUUGGCAAUGCUUCAAUGUUGGGUCAUCCUUGGAAACCAAUGGCAGCUCUCAGGUUUACUUCUAUUCUGUGUGGCCUCACGUUGGGAGCUAGGCUUACACUUGCUCCAUCAACAGUGAUUAUUGGUAAAGUUCUAACUAGCUUAAGGAAAUAUUCCGAUGGAAAAUUUAUUCAGCAUCUGCCUCAGAAGAUACAGGACGAUAGUCCUGUAUUCACCGCAUGCCAUUUGUAGGAACAUACUUUGUUGCUUUAAAUUUAUUGAACAGCCUUUCAGUUGUACUUUAAAAGAAAAGAAUACCAUAAACUAUUUGUUUUUAACCAACUAAUCUGAUGGUACCAUUUUUGGUGUGUGCAUAUGUACCUUAAAGACAGUCCUUCAGAGCCAAGCAGUGGUGGCACAUGCCUUCAAUCCCAGCACUUGGAAGGCAGAGGCAGACAGAUUUCUGAGUUUGAGGCCAGCCUGGUCUAUAGAGUUCCAGGACAGGCAGGGCUACACAGAGAAACCCUGUCUUGAAAAUUCAAAAACAAAACAAAUAC
rnacentral:lncRNA from 1 species